rnacentral:rRNA from 1 species
CGGAGGGUGCGAGCGUUGUCCGGAAUCACUGGGCGUAAAGGGCGCGUAGGUGGCCCGUCAAGCGCGCGGUGAAAGCCCGGGGCUCAACCCCGGGUCGGCCGUGCGGACUGGCGGGCUCGAGCACUGUAGGGGCGGGUGGAAUUCCGGGUGUAGCGGUGGAAUGCGUAGAGAUCCGGAAGAACACCGGUGGCGAAGGCGGCCCGCUGGGCAGGAAGGGGGUCGUAAGACCCCCGGCUGACACUGAGGCGCGACAGCGUGGGGAGCAAACAGGAUUAGAUACCCUGGUAGUCCACGCCGUAAACGAUGGGCACUAGGUGCUUGGGGGAGCGACCCCCCGAGUGCCGGCGCUAACGCAUUAAGUGCCCCGCCUGGGGAGUACGGCCGCAAGGCUG